rnacentral:rRNA from 1 species
UACGUAGGGGGCAAGCGUUGUCCGGAAUUAUUGGGCGUAAAGCGCGCGUAGGCGGAUCUGCAAGUCGGGGGUGAAAUCCCGAGGCUCAACCUCGGAACUGCCUUCGAUACUGCGGGUCUCGAGUCCGGGAGAGGUGAGUGGAAUUCCUAGUGUAGAGGUGAAAUUCGUAGAUAUUAGGAAGAACACCAGUGGCGAAGGCGGCUCACUGGCCCGGUACUGACGCUGAGGCGCGAAAGCGUGGGGAGCAAACAGG